rnacentral:misc_RNA from 1 species
UUUUUUUUUUUUUAUUAUUUAUUUCUCUAUACUCCUCCCCGCAAACCGCUAUCUGUCAGUUUCCAUCACUACCUGCAUCAUCUUUUUGUCCAUCCCUAACCGACACGUGUCUAUUCCUCCACUAAAUAUCUAUUCGCAUAAAUAAUCUUUUGCCAGUAUCCGGCCAUGGUUUGAAUUAUCUACCGGAUAUAUCAAUUUUUCUUUCCCUUUCUGUGGGUUUCAGCGAGAUUAGGUUUCGGUGUCAUGGCGACCGCCUCAAAACUCCUGGUUUUUUCUCUCUUUUUUGCCCUGGUUUUCUCCGCCGUUAGGCCGGAUGUUUCAAUUGAAGCCGAUGCUCAAGUACUUGGAUCAGACGCCGGUGAUUCCUCCUAUUUGAAGAUAGAACUUGACCAACUCAAGUCUAAGAUCCAUGAUCUUGGUUCGUUUGCUUCUCAUACCUUGCUUUAUUUCAAUCGAAACCAUUGUUGGAGAGAAAAGGAAUAGCAAGUUUGAAUUUUCGAUUUUUUUUAUACUAUUCUGAAUAUGUGAAGACUCUGUGCUGCUUAACUUCCUGUGUCCCUUCCUCUCUUCCAUUAGUGCUAUUUUACAGUAUUCUAAUUUUGCUCUUUGUUCAAGUUUUUUCAGUACAUGAGAAUGAUAUUUCAAAAUCAUGGAAUAUGGCUGUGAGUUCAACUUAGAUUUUAUCUAUGACUUGAGAGAGGCUAAUGAUGUAUUGUUGUAGAAAAAUGGUAUUUAUUCAACAUUUUAUUUUUCACGUACAAUUCUUUUACCCACAGUGAAUUUUACAAUAUUAUCAGUUUGCCACAUCAAGCUGGACGCAGUGGGGCAGUAUAAGAUUGGCAGGGCAUGUAGUACUAAUCUAAAUAAAGGAAAUUAACUGUAAAAACUGUGUGAAACUGUGUCCACAAAAUAUUUACCUUUUAACUUCCCAAUUAUGGAAUUUUUUUAAUUAAGGAAGGUUCUAACUGUACGUCGUCGGUUCUAUUUUUGUCAAUUUGCGUUGAUUAUUGGAAUAUGAAGAAUCCCGCAUUGAUGAGAAAACUCAAGAAUUGAAGGGCAAAGAUGACUUAAUUGCGCAGAAGGAGAGAAUCAUUCAAGAAAAGUCAGAUAGUAUUGUGUCCUUGAAGAAUGAAAUAUCUUCCCUUCAGAAAAGGGAGAAAUUAGACACUGCAGAGCAGGUGGGAA